rnacentral:rRNA from 1 species
UACGGAGGGUGCAAACGUUGCUCGGAAUCAUUGGGCGUAAAGCGCACGUAGGCGGCCUGUUAUGUCGGGUGUGAAAUCCCUCGGCUUAACCGAGGAAGUGCAUUCGAAACUGGCAGGCUUGAAUACUCAAGAGGGUCUCGGAAUUCCCGGUGUAGAGGUGAAAUUCGUAGAUAUUAGGAAGAACACCAGUGGCGAAGGCGGCUCACUGGUCCGGUACUGACGCUGAGGUGCGAAAGCGUGGGGAGCAAACAGG